GAUGAACGCUGGCGGCGUGCUUAACACAUGCAAGUCGAACGAUGAAACCUAGCUUGCUAGGUCGAUUAGUGGCGAACGGGUGAGUAACACGUGACUAACCUGCCCCUUUCUCUGGGAUAACGCUUCGAAAGGAGUGCUAAUACCGGAUACUCACAUCGAGGCACAUGCCUUGAUGUGGAAAGUUUUUCGGAAAGGGAUGGAGUCGCGGCCUAUCAGCUUGUUGGUGAGGUAACGGCUCACCAAGGCGACGACGGGUAGCCGGCCUGAGAGGGCGACCGGCCACACUGGGACUGAGACACGGCCCAGACUCCUACGGGAGGCAGCAGUGGGGAAUAUUGCACAAUGGGCGCAAGCCUGAUGCAGCGACGCCGCGUGAGGGAUGAAGGUCUUCGGAUUGUAAACCUCUUUCAGUAGGGACGAAGCGAAAGUGACGGUACCUAAAGAAGAAGCACCGGCUAACUACGUGCCAGCCGCCGCCGUAA
rnacentral:rRNA from 1 species